rnacentral:rRNA from 1 species
AUUGAACGCUGGCGGCAUGCUUUACACAUGCAAGUCGAACGGCAGCGCGGGCUUCGGCCUGGCGGCGAGUGGCGAACGGGUGAGUAAUACAUCGGAACGUGCCCAGUAGUGGGGGAUAGCUCGGCGAAAGCCGGAUUAAUACCGCAUACGACCUGAGGGUGAAAGCGGGGGAUCUUCGGACCUCGCGCUAUUGGAGCGGCCGAUGGCAGCUUAGCUAGUUGGUGGGGUAAAGGCCUACCAAGGCGACGAUCUGUAGCUGGUCUGAGAGGACGACCAGCCACACUGGGACUGAGACACGGCCCAGACUCCUACGGGAGGCAGCAGUGGGGAAUUUUGGACAAUGGGCGAAAGCCUGAUCCAGCAAUGCCGCGUGUGUGAUGAAGGCCUUCUGGUUGUAAAGCACUUUUGGCGGGAACGAAAAGGACUGUGCCAAUACCACGGUUCGAUGACGGUACCCGCAGAAUAAGCACCGGCUAACUACGUG